CCGCAGUUCCCGUCCGACUGCAGAGCCGCCGCCUAGAGUCCGGCCCGCCGCGCCGCCCGCGCCGGUUCCUGGGACCCGGGCAGGGCCGCCUCCGAGGAGCGGGCCUCCACACACCCUGGCUGUCCGAGGAGAAACCUCGCGCUUCCUCGCCCCCUUCCGUGCCGAGAGCGAGACGUGGACAGGCGCCGCGUAGAUCCGGGGGAGGCUCCCAAUUGGAACCAGCCUUCUGGCUGCGCCACUGCCCUCUCCCGCCCCGAUGUCGGAAGAGCACCCCUGGCCCCUGGCCCCUCUUUCAGCCUCGAGCGCUGUGAAGGGCAGGCUCGCAGCCGCGGGGAGAGCUGAGGACAGGCCUCCACUGGUCUCAGGAUGAGCGAAGAGUUUCAUUUCAGCUCGGGGUUGUGAGGGCAUCCUGCGCGCAGUCCGCUCUCUGAUGUUGGGUGGGGCCCGUCUGCAAAGGUGAGGAUGGAUUGGAAAGGCCCGCGGGCUGCACCUUUGCACGUUUGGAGUCUUCUCUCGCCUCUGCCUGCUCUGCCUUUGUCCUCGGGGUUCUUGGAGGCCAGGCCCAAACGCACACUAGUUUCUCUGGUCUCACUUUCCCAGACUUCCUCUCACGGGCUUCUCCUCCACCACCCUCACCUCCCAAUAUCUUUUUGCAUUAGGGAUCCCACAGGACCCUGAAGGAAUGUCAAGGUGAGCCUCACCCCUUGCUCUUGGGAAAGCCAGAAUAAGAUUAGAUCCCCAUUUCCCGAUUCCCAUUAGAACCACCUUUCCAGACUCCCAGUCCAGCACUGUUUACAUUAAAGCAGUGGGUGUUCCCGGGAGCCCUAGCUCUGGAGCUACCCACUAAAAGAGGGUUUCAAUGCCAAAGGGGUUUGUCAAGGUGCUAUCUCGCCUUCUUGGAGAUUCACGAUGCUCAUUAGCAUAUCAAAGACUUUGAGAAGUCCCACUAUAAAAGAAGCCCAAGUAAUUUAGUUUACAGUGUUACCUGCCUCUGGACCUGGACCAAUUAGAUUUUGCCACCUAAGACUUCCAAGCAUCCCUGUGCUGGCUUGGCUGUCAUUCAUUCCUAAGGGAUCCAACUCAUUGGCUAUGGUAUGAUUGAAGAUCUGGAGUGCUCCUUCUCUUUCCCAGGGAAUUUCUCUAGCAGGGGGAGGGCUUGCCUCAGUGGGGGAGAAGAUAGCUGUCCCUGCCAGGCCCGCAAGAGACCUGGGAAUUGGUGGACCUGAACAUUCCUCUACAUUGUUUGAAAAAUGAAGUCAAGGUUAUCCAGAUGGCUUCCCAGUCAAAAGGAACAUUGCCUAUAUGAGAUGCUGGCAUUGACCGUGAGCAACUGGCAGGAGUGGGUCUCACUCAGUGAAGAGAGAAGAAAACUCCAAAGUUGGGGUGAACAGCUGGCCCAGCCUCUGUUAGGUUUCCACGUUGCUGAGGCCACGGAGAUUCCCGUAGCGGUCAUGCCGACCUCUCCCGGGGCUCGCUUCCCUUGGCAGGGGACAGCAUUCUGGGCUGGGCCAGCAGAGGGCUGCAGAGUGGGGAGAGUGGAUGACCUCUGCCCGGCAGCUUCCCUUCAACAUUGUCCAGUGGAAGAUCCAAGAUGCGUGAAGAUUCAUUUUACCGUCACACAAGAGAAAUUCUGAUUCUCCUUGUGCUGUGACUUGGGCCCAAGAUUCCAGACACAUGGAACUGAGCUAUGCACCUCCGUGCCUUAAACAGUGCGUUUUAGCUCCAGCUUUUGUUCCUUUUCUCUUUUUUCAGAUCACCAUUGAAGUUGCAUCCUCAGCUCAGAACCAGCCCCCUGAGGAUCUCUUCUUAACCCCCCCAGCUCAUGGUGCUCUGUCUGUGGUCAGGUGACCUUACUCAAGAGUAGAUGUCUCCUUGGCCUUCAUGGUACCUAUUCAUUCAGAUGUGCCUGAAUCAUUCCAGAGCUCACUGGCUCUUCUAAAUGUGCCUUCCUGCUUGGCCUCCGGCUGUUUCUCCAGAUGUGAAAAGGACAUGUAAAACAGCCCCCACACCCAUUCCCUCCUCCCCCUGUGACCCUGUACCAUAGGAAUGGCCACCUGACCUGGCCCAGAAUUUUUGAAUACUGGAGCCAGCCUCCUUGGCCUUCCUCAUUAGACUCCAGGACUCAGUCCAGCUUGAGACCACUGUGGACUCCUACCAGUCCAAAAGUCUAGGACCACUUGCAGAUCCAAGAGAGGAUUUUUCUAGUGUUCUACAAAGGCCAAAAGAGAGGGUGGGAGUGGGAGGGGUGUGGGCCAGUAGCGAGAGGGGACCGAUGUGCCUCAUUUAAUAGUUUAGUGGUGGUUACUAAUUUGCUUUUCGGAAUAAAGUUUGGUUUGUCUGA